GCGAGAGUGGCGGAACUGGUAGACGCACUGGACUUAGAAUCCAGCGGAACUUCCGUGGGGGUUCGAUUCCCCCCUCUCGCACCA
rnacentral:tRNA from 1 species